rnacentral:rRNA from 1 species
GAUGAACGCUGGCGGCGUGCCUAAUACAUGCAAGUCGAGCGAACGGACGAGAAGCUUGCUUCUCUGAUGUUAGCGGCGGACGGGUGAGUAACACGUGGAUAACCUACCUAUAAGACUGGGAUAACUUCGGGAAACCGGAGCUAAUACCGGAUGAUAUUUUGAACCGCAUGGUUCAAAAGUGAAAGACGGUCUUGCUGUCACUUAUAGAUGGAUCCGCGCUGCAUUAGCUAGUUGGUAAGGUAACGGCUUACCAAGGCAACGAUGCAUAGCCGACCUGAGAGGGGGAUCGGCCACACUGGAAGUGAGACACGGUCCAGACUCCUGCGGGAGGCAGCAGUAGGGAAUCUUACGCAAUGGGCGAGAGCCUGACGGAGCAACGCCGCGUGAGUGAUGAAGGUCUUCGGAUCGUAAAACUCUGUUAUUAGGGAAGAACAUAUGUGUAAGUAACUGUGCACAUCUUGACGGUACCUAAUCAGAAAGCCACGGCUAACUACGUG